rnacentral:rRNA from 1 species
AGAGUUUGAUCAUGGCUCAGGACGAACGCUGGCGGCGUGCUUAACACAUGCAAGUCGAACGGAAAGGCCCUUCGGGGUACUCGAGUGGCGAACGGGUGAGUAACACGUGGGUGAUCUGCCCUGCACUUUGGGAUAAGCCUGGGAAACUGGGUCUAAUACCGAAUAUGACCAUGCACUUCCUGGUGUGUGGUGGAAAGCUUUUGCGGUGUGGGAUGGGCCCGCGGCCUAUCAGCUUGUUGGUGGGGUAAUGGCCUACCAAGGCGACGACGGGUAGCCGGCCUGAGAGGGUGACCGGCUACACUGGGACUGAGAUACGGCCCAGACUCCUACGGGAGGCAGCAGUGGGGAAUAUUGCACAAUGGGCGCAAGCCUGAUGCAGCGACGCCGCGUGAGGGAUGACGGCCUUCGGGUUGUAAACCUCUUUCAGCACAGACGAAGCGCAAGUGACGGUAUGUGCAGAAGAAGGACCGGCCAACUACGUGCCAGCAGCCGCGGUAAUACGUAGGGUCCGAGCGUUGUCCGGAAUUACUGGGCGUAAAGAGCUCGUAGGUGGUUUGUCGCGUUGUUCGUGAAAACUCACAGCUUAACUGUGGGCGUGCGGGCGAUACGGGCAGACUUGAGUACUGCAGGGGAGACUGGAAUUCCUGGUGUAGCGGUGGAAUGCGCAGAUAUCAGGAGGAACACCGGUGGCGAAGGCGGGUCUCUGGGCAGUAACUGACGCUGAGGAGCGAAAGCGUGGGGAGCGAACAGGAUUAGAUACCCUGGUAGUCC